rnacentral:snoRNA from 14 species
AAUAUGAUGAAAAAAACAGACCUGUACUGACAUUGCAAAACAAAACAGUGAGGAAUAAAUCUAAGAAGUUCUGACA